AGUGGACGCUGGCGGUAGGCCUAACACAUGCAAGUCGAACGGCAGCACAGUAAGAGCUUGCUCUUACGGGUGGCGAGUGGCGGACGGGUGAGGAAUACAUCGGAAUCUACUUUUUCGUGGGGGGUAACGUAGGGAAACUUACGCUAAUACCGCAUACGACCUACGGGUGAAAGCAGGGGAUCUUCGGACCUUGCGCGAUUGAAUGAGCCGAUGUCGGAUUAGCUAGUUGGCGGGGUAAAGGCCCACCAAGGCGACGAUCCGUAGCUGGUCUGAGAGGAUGAUCAGCCACACUGGAACUGAGACACGGUCCAGACUCCUACGGGAGGCAGCAGUGGGGAAUAUUGGACAAUGGGCGCAAGCCUGAUCCAGCCAUACCGCGUGGGUGAAGAAGGCCUUCGGGUUGUAAAGCCCUUUUGUUGGGAAAGAAAAGCAGCAGGUUAAUACCCCGCUGUUCUGACGGUACCCAAAGAAUAAGCACCGGCUAACUUCGUG
rnacentral:rRNA from 1 species